rfam:Vibrio tubiashii ATCC 19109 plasmid p123, complete sequence.
CGGCGCGGAACGGGGGUGAUGACCCCGACCGCGCCUAACCAUAACUGCCUGAAUAGGAGGCAACCAUGGCUAA